rnacentral:misc_RNA from 1 species
UGGAAGAGCUUUGACUGGUC